rnacentral:rRNA from 1 species
UACAGAGGGUGCAAGCGUUGUUCGGAAUUAUUGGGCGUAAAGGGAGUGUAGGCGGUCUUUUAAGUCUUCUGUGAAAUCUACGGGCUUAGCCUGUAACGUGCAGAGGAAACUGGAAGGCUUGAGUGUCGGAGAGGAUAGGGGAAUACCCAGUGUAGAGGUGAAAUUCGUAGAGAUUGGGUGGAACACCAGUGGCGAAGGCGCCUAUCUGGCUGACAACUGACGCUGAGACUCGAAAGCAUGGGGAGCAAACAGG